rnacentral:misc_RNA from 1 species
AAGUCGUAACAAGGUUUCCGUAGGUGAACCUGCGGAAGGAUCAUUAUUGAGCCGGGAGGCAUAAAAUCCAUACCUCUGUGAGCCGUGCCCUCGGGCUUACAACAAACCAGUGUGAUGAACGUAAUACAAUAUAAACAAAA